rnacentral:rRNA from 1 species
UACGUAGGGUGCAAGCGUUGUCCGGAAUUAUUGGGCGUAAAGAGCUCGUAGGCGGUCAGUCGCGUCUGCUGUGAAAACUCGGGGCUUAACUCCGGGCCUGCAGUGGGUACGGGCUGACUAGAGUGCGGUAGGGGAGACUGGAAUUCCUGGUGUAGCGGUGAAAUGCGCAGAUAUCAGGAGGAACACCGAUGGCGAAGGCAGCUCGCUGGGACGGUACUGACGCUGAGGCGCGAAAGCGUGGGGAGCAAACAGG